AGCGAUGAUGAUUGAUGGGCGAACGGAGAGAUGAAGAAGGAAAGGUGAUCUCUGAGC
rfam:Palaeococcus pacificus DY20341, complete genome.